AAGGUGGAAACUAAAAUUACUAUCACAUGCUCAUCAUGCUCAUGUACGUGUUGUAAAAUGCUAACGUAAGCAACAUAUUUGGCUUUUCAUUGGCUAAGUGCCAAGUAUUUUUCUUGCAAAGAAUAACAUGGGUUUUUGAGUUGAGAGUUUGCAUACAGAGUUUUGUGUUUUUGAAGUGCAUAAAGUCUAGGAUUGAAUAAACAAUAGUAAUCACUUCCAGUGUCAUGGACAUCACACCAUUCUUAGUGUAAUAUCGCAAAAUAGUUGAAAACUUUUUACAAACCACUCCUGAAGUGUCACAGACAACCUUUUGUGGACUAUCAAAGAAUACUACAGUAACUGCAAAGAUACAUAACAAUUUUGAACGAGUUUAGAUAAUUUUCAGCUGUACAUUGUUUAUAAUUGCUUUUUUUAUAUUUUUGUGACUAGGUGAUCAAAGGUUUGGAUCAUGGGAUACUUGUAGGUGAAGGGGUACCCCUAAUGUUUGUUGGUAGGCUCGUGAAGAUAAUUUUUAUAGGAUCUAAAGGCUUUCUCUAUGUUGUGUUGCGUCUUUCUGUGCGUAAUAAGUUCAAUUACACAGGUGGAAAGCGUGAACUUUCAGAUACCUCUCGAGUUGUCUUAUGGACUAGAACAUGCUGGAUGUUUUUCUGUUGCCACACUAACUUAUUCUAAUUUAUAGUAUAGUUCAAAAGUAAACAUACUAGCUUAAUACAUUGAGUAGACCGAAAUUCGUGACUUCUUGUAGCUUAAAUAUGUGAACUCCUACUGUAGCUAUCUUCGAUUAACUUUUCGAUUCAAGUAAAGUAGCCUUUAUAGACAGUGUCAAGUUCUUUUGUAGUGGUCAUGAGUAGAAGCAUAUGUUUGUUGUUAAUUCUUGUUUAAAAUUGUGAUUUUAGAGUAGAAUAAGUUUUUAUUGUUAAUUAAUGACUAUUUCUGCAAAAGAAAUUAAGGUUCUAGAAUAGAACCAAAUCAUGUGAAGUCCUUGCGGUGAGUAGAAGCAUAUAUUUAUUGGUAAUAUUUGAGUAAAAUUGUGGUUCUAGAAUAGAAUCACAUUUGUAUUGUUUAUUUUAUGACUGUUUUUGUAUAUGAAAAUAAUGUGUUCUGUAAUAGAAUCAAAUAAUGUAGAGUAGUGGUUGUAUAGUAGAAUCUUAUAUAUAUAUAUUUGGUUCUAUAAUCAAUCUCUGUUACUGAUCAUAUGAGUUUUGGUCUAUAGUAGAAGCAUAUAUGUGUUAGAAAUAUAAUGCAUAUGUGUUUAUAUGAUUGAAUUAAUUUCAUAGUUCUGAUUCUAUAUACAAAUAAGCUAAUUAAUUUGAUUUUUAUGUGUGUUGUUUAAUAGUUUAGGGUUCGAACCAUAUUUUAUAAAAUUCUUGUUCUAGAGUAGAAGCAUUGAUGUAGUUGUGUGAAAUUAGUUUUGUCUGAGUUAGUUAAUGCUUAUUUUUGUUUUAAAAGUAAUAUUCUGUAAUGAGCUAAAUGGCAGCAUAGCAAAGGACUUAGGACUUCUCAGCUGCAUCACUUGCACCAGGGGAGCCCUUUAAAAUGGGUCGAUCAAAUCCCAUGAAAGUUGUUUUUGCAGCUAUGAAUAUGGAUUCCGUUGUUUCUUGUUGACGUAUUGUAUUGUCCUGGUAUCCGGAUGUCACAUUUUGUUAAAAGAGCGUUUUUAAGAUCUUAUUAAUCUCGGUCGGAACUGGUAUUUGUAUGCUCGUAAAUAUAUGCAUUUACUCCAUUUGGUCAGGAGAGGAUCUGCACCAAUUGGUUGUGAAAAACAUCAGAGGUGUUGCCAACUCCUAGGAAGAUGUGUAUCUUACCAGUGGUCAUGAGAGCAGAUUUUUGCAGCAGGAGACCAAGAAGGGAAAAAGGAUUUGAUAUAGGCAGCUACAGCGGUGGCAUGUGGACAAGACAUAGAAGUUCCUGAUUUAAUGUUGUACAAUACUCUUCUUUUGUCGUCGUUUAUUCCGGAGAGAGGGGCAGCUAGAGACCAUGUUGCUUUAUAUCUGGUCAUGCUGUCAGGAUUUGUAUUUGGUUGGCUUUGAUAUUGAUUUCCUGGAGAUUCAUGUUGGUUCAUAGAGCUGAGAACUUGGUUCAUGAUAAGGCCUUAAGUUAUGUGCUUAAAGCUUGGGUUUGUUUGUUGGUGGGGACUUUGAUAUUGGUUUGUAAAGAAACUGAUUGUUAAGGUUCUAGCUUAUUUUUUCAUGUGAACCAUUGCCUUUUGUUUUGUGUAUUUGUAAGUGAUUAAUUCCAUAGUAUCUUUAGCUACA